UACGUAGGGUGCAAGCGUUUGUCCGGAAUUAUUGGGCGUAAAGAGCUCGUAGGCGGUCUGUCGCGUCUGCUGUGAAAACUCAGGGCUUAACCCUGAGCUUGCAGUGGGUACGGGCAGACUAGAGUGCGGUAGGGGAGACUGGAAUUCCUGGUGUAGCGGUGAAAUGACGCAGAUAUCGUGGAGGAACACCGGUGGCGAAGGCGGCAUCCUGGACCGAGAUUGACGCUGAGGCGCGAAAGCUAGGGGAGCAAACGGG
rnacentral:rRNA from 1 species